AUUGAACGCUGGCGGCAGGCUUAACACAUGCAAGUCGAGCGGGGUGAUGGUGCUUGCACUAUCACUUAGCGGCGGACGGGUGAGUAAUGCUUAGGAAUCUGCCUAUUAGUGGGGGACAACAUCUCGAAAGGGAUGCUAAUACCGCAUACGUCCUACGGGAGAAAGCAGGGGAUCACUUGUGACCUUGCGCUAAUAGAUGAGCCUAAGUCGGAUUAGCUAGUUGGUGGGGUAAAGGCCUACCAAGGCGACGAUCUGUAGCGGGUCUGAGAGGAUGAUCCGCCACACUGGGGCUGAGACACGGCCCAGACUCCUACGGGAGGCAGCAGUGAGGAAUAUUGGACAAUGGGAGGAACCCUGAUCCAGCCGUGCCGCGUGUGUGGAGAAGGCCUUAUGGUUGUAAAGCACUUUAAGCGAGGAGGAGGCUCUUUUGGUUAAUACCCAAGAUGAGUGGACGUUACUCGCAGAAUAAGCACCGGCUAACUCUGUGCCAGCCGCCGCGGUAA
rnacentral:rRNA from 1 species